GGGAUCUUCCUCCGGGUCUCCUGCAAACACUAGAGGAGCAGUGGGUUGCUUCUUUGGUUCCCUGGGUCCAUCCUUGUGCUUUAACAAAAUCACCUUUUUGUAUGGAAGAUGUCUCAAGAACUCUUUCCUGGGCAUCAGCUCUGGACCGCCACCACCACUCCAAAACCACAGAAGCUAGGAAUGUGUGAUAUUGUGAUUUAUAAUAAGACAUAUAUAUUUAGUCUCUGGUUACAGGGGAACCGCCUAUUCCCUUGUGGCCUGAGGACCACUCAGACCUCACUAUCUGCUCCUGGGGAUUCGCCCUUCCCACCAGAGCACCACUAGGAAGACACAUCCCAUGAUCUCCUUAUUUGCUGCAAAUA